rnacentral:misc_RNA from 1 species
GAAAUGCGAUAAGUAGUGUGAAUUGCAGAAUUCAGUGAAUCAUCGAAUCUUUGAACGCACAUUGCGCCCCUUGGUAUUCCAUGGGGCAUGCCUGUUCGAGCGUCAUUUGUACCCUCAAGCUCUGCUUGGUGUUGGGUGUUUGUCCCGUCUCCGCGCGUGGACUCGCCCCAAAGUGAUUGGCAGCCGGCGUACUGGUCCCGGAGCGCAGCACAUGUCGCGCAAACGAGUGCCUUGGUACGGCGGCGUCCAUAAGCCCCUCUCUCACGCUCUUGACCUCGGAUCAGGUAGGAAGACCCGCUGAACUUAGGC